GGUUAGCGUAGAUGUUGCUAGCAUCAGUUAUACCAGAACUUGAGAGUAUUGUUUGAUGGAAGAGAAAAAGAAGAGCAAGCACUUGCACCGAAGGCUUUUCUUGAAGGAAAAGAUGUUUUCUCUCUUCUCCCAACUGACUUCGUUUCCGACGACAACUUCCCAGACGGAUCUGUGUAACAAACCAUCUGGCACAGUCAUGUUACUUAACUCUGACCCGACUGACUUUCUCUUUACAUAAAGGUGCCAACAGCAGUGUAAUAAAUGGUGAGCACAGGAUCCACAUCGAAAUGUAUCUGCUUCAGACAACCAUCCUAUAGUAAAAUCAAUGUAGAGAUGCAAUCAUGGUAAAUGUUCUUGCUCAGGACACUUUGACAUGCAGCGGGAGGAACCAGGGAUCAAACCGCCAACCUUUUGCUUGGUGGAUGACCUGCUCUACCUCUUGAGCCACAGCUGCCCAGCAUGGACAACUGACUCUGUAUAUUGAGAUGUAAUGCUGUUUUAUGUGGAUAGUAAUUACCCCAGAGACACAAACAUCCACUUGCCUUCAUCUGAAUGUCCUGUGCUUUCCAAUGAGGACGAAGUCUUCUCAGGAUGUCCAGGAUUCCACAACGAGGUUCCAGCUGAUCAAUAUGGAUGUCUACAUGGAGAAGCUGAUUCCGAGCACCACCAGGCCCACUGUCCAUUUUUAACAAAGCAGAUCUGAAGUACUUUUUGAGAAUUUAGAUCUCAGAAGAGAUUUUACCUUGAAAAAUAUUGAGGUCCAGAAUUUGUUCAGAAACAUUCAGACUAAAGUCCUACUGUGUUCUAAGACCAGCUGAGAUCCAGACCCAACAGUUCAUCGAAACAUCAUCCAAACAAACUUAAAAGGGGAAGACAUAAGAGACAGAGGUCUACGAUCUGCUCUGUCAGAGCAAUUCAAGAACCAUCAGUGCUAUCUGGAGGUCACUGCAAUUGUUCACUUGUGUGUCCAGUGACUCAGCAGCCUACCUUGCUUAUCAGGGGCCAAUGUUCCUAUGGGCAUCUUCAUCCCCACUGUUGCAGAGUUUACAUAUUAACCACGGGUUUGAGCCCUGCUACAGGCACCUGUAGUGUUAAACAGAAUUCAAUGAGAAAACAUUUUGAUUUGAUUUUGAUUUUGAAGCUCUGUAAUGAAGCAUGAUGAUUAAAGUUUUGCUUCAUUAAACCAGACCAUAUUUUACUUCUAACUAGUUAUACAUUUAACCAUAACCAUAAAUUAAGUAACCUAAAAAAAAUUUACUUGAAAUUACUACUUAAAUAAAACAUUUUUUUUAAGUUUUAAGUGUUCAAUGAAUUGCAACACAGACCUAAAUAUCUGCAUUUAAUUAAUUUUUCAUUAGUAGAACCACUCAGAUGUCAGUCUGUGCUAUCAGCCACAAAGAUGUGACACUCGCACUGCAUAUUUUCUCUCGUGAGACUGAGCUCUCUUUGCUGUCAGUUUCAGCACAGCUCUCUGAUACCUGAUGCCACACCACGCUGCUCUAACAUUAAAACUGAGCAGGCUGCAAACGUCACUGCAGCAAGUCCCAAUGCAGAAAUUAGGUUACAGUUUACUUUGUUGAAGAUCAUUUAAGCUAAAAAGUAGGCAUGCGACAAAAAUCAACCCAAUAUGAUGACUUAUGAUUCUCCAAAUAAUUUUCAGAUGCAUUACAUUUGGCCUGUGUGCAGCAGCAAAGACUUUAAAUGUCUAUUGUCUAACCCAAGUCAUCUUGUGAUCUAGAGGACCCAUUUAAAUAUCAUACAAUUAGUUCAGUCAAACAUGACCUUUCAUGCUAGUUCAAUGCCAUGGAACAUUUCAACAUGAUCACUGUGUAAACACAAAACGAAUUUCAUAAACAUUGGAGCAGCAUGUUUUCAGUCUGUUAAAUUAUUUAGAUGUUGGGCCAAUGUUUACCAUUUUGCAUCAUUACAGUAAUUGCCUAGAAGUCACGAAUGUGGUGAUCAUCUUGAACCGAAUACUUUUGCAAGCUUUUAGACGCAAAUGAAAUUCACUUGCCAUCAAAGAGCGUCUCAUCAUCAAAGAUGUUGUGUAUUGAAAGAGAGAUGAGUGUCUCGAUUAAAAAUGUAAGGGUCAGGCAGUAGAAUAGAGUAGUAUAGAGUAGCAGAGUCAGUGUUUGUGUUACUGCAUGUAACUCUCAAGUACAGCUGAACAAGAGGGCUGGUUGAAGAAGAGAUGACACACACAAUAACCCAUGCAUUCACAAAUAUACUGUUAUGACACAUCUCAGACAGAUUCACUUACUGUAUGUCUGGCUUCUCUUUUUUCAUGUUGCUCAUGAUUGUUAAUAUGCAGACAUUAACAUUUGGGCCUUUGAGCCUUGAAAAUUAAUCAUUUAUGAAAGGAUCAACAAAGUACCAGUUGUGUUGAGGGCAGCAUGAAAGAGUAACAAAACUGAGUUAAUAUUGCUGGAGUUUCUCUUGACUGCUUGACAUUGCCUGGAUUAUGGGUAUUUUUCACUGUAGUCAUUUAAGCAAUAGAACCAGCUAUUCAACAAAAUGUGGAAAUAAAAUGAGAGGAAGGAGAAUAGUAGAGGAGAGGAUCACAACAUUUAAUAAUCAGCUUUUCUUUCUUAUGGAAACUGCUACAAACAUUUCCAAGAUUUCUGGAUAAAGGAUCAACUGGCACAAAUAGUAAUUCAAAUGGUCACAACUUUCCAUUUUUAAAGGAUAAGGCUGGUGAUAUUCUGUAUUUUAUUCAACAAAUCAACAAAAAAAAAAUAUUUUUGACUUUCCUACCCAGUCUGUGGCUAUCAGCCCCAAGCCAUUUGUUCAGAAAAAGACUGAAUACAAAUAUAGUUUCAUUUUUGAAAAGGUUUUUCCACUGAUUAAGAGUCUGUUUCUCCAGUUCAUUCAGAGUACUCAAUUAUUUAAGGGUAAACUCUUCAAGUGACCCUUCAUAAAGAAUUGUCAGAUUGUUAACAUUAGUUUAAUACUAAUACUACUUUAAUAUUUGGAUGAGAUGCCAAUGAAUAUAGAAUCUGUACACAUGGCCAACUGAAAAAAUAAAAAAGUACAAAAAUUAUUAUUAUUAUUUAUUAUUAUAAUUAUUAUUAUUAUUAUCACUAUUAUACUUGCAUUCCAGAUGUUUACAAAAUGGCAAAAAUAGGGGAUUUUAUCUACCACUUAGAGAAAAUUUUCACUUCAUCACACUUGAUCAACUUGUUGUGUCUCGUCAAGUUUGUUAAGUUUAGUCAUGUUAAGUGUUUCAUGUUUAGUCCUUCCUGUUUUAUUUUGUACUCAUCUUUUCCUUCACUAUUCAAAUCCUGACUUCCUCCCUUUGUGUGAUUUUCCCGCCUUUGUAAUUGUCUGCCCCGCCCCUGAUUGCUUUUACCUGUUCUCACUUACACAUGAUAUAAAUAGUCCUUGUCUCCCUUUGUCACUUCAUCUUGUUCAGUAAGUCAGUGAGUAUUGUCAAGUGUUGUAGUUCAGAGUCCAGGUUAUUUCAUGUGUCAAUUGAAGUUUGACUUUUUGUUUGCGUUUUUUUGAUAUCCUCCUUGAGAGCGACUUGUUUGCAUUUUGAUAUCCUCCUAGAGAGUGCCUUUUGUUUAAUAAAUAUGUUUUUUUCCUGCAA